UGAACGAAGAAAAGAAAAGAAAGGAGAAAGACAAGGACGGCAAAAGAGGUGAAAGAUGUUAUUUGAUUACUUCGUUCUCUCCCUCCCUUUCUCUCUUUCUUUCGGUUCU
rnacentral:ribozyme from 1 species